GGGCAUAUAGCCCAGUGGUAGAGCACAUAUUAGCAUGCAUGAGGCCCUGGGUUCAAUCCCCAGUACCUCCA
rnacentral:tRNA from 1 species